UACAGAGGGUGCGAGCGUUAAUCGGAAUUACUGGGCGUAAAGCGCACGUAGGCGGCUUUCUAAGUCGGGGGUGAAAUCCUGGAGCUCAACUCCAGAACUGCCUUCGAUACUGGAAAGCUCGAGUCCGGGAGAGGUGAGUGGAACUGCGAGUGUAGAGGUGAAAUUCGUAGAUAUUCGCAAGAACACCAGUGGCGAAGGCGGCUCACUGGCCCGGUUCUGACGCUGAGGUGCGAAAGCGUGGGGAGCAAACAGG
rnacentral:rRNA from 1 species